rnacentral:rRNA from 1 species
CGAAGCCUGACGGAGCAAUACCGCGUGAGGGAAGAAGGCUUUUGGGUUGUAAACCUCUUUUGUCAGGGAAGAAGAAUUGACGGUACCUGAAGAAAAAGCAUCGGCUAACUCCGUGCCAGCAGCCGCGGUAAUACGGAGGAUGCAAGCGUUAUCCGGAAUCAUUGGGCGUAAAGGGUCCGCAGGUGGCGAAUAAAGUCUGCUGUUAAAGACCGGGGCUAAACUCCGGAAAGGCAGUGGAAACUGAUUAGCUAGAGUACGGUAGGGGUAGAGGGAAUUCCCAGUGUAGCGGUGAAAUGCGUAGAUAUUGGGAAGAACACCGGUGGCGAAAGCGCUCUACUAGGCCGAAACUGACACUGAGGGACGAAAGCUAGGGUAGCGAAAGGGAUUAGAUACCCCCGUAGUCUUAGCGGUAAACGAUGGAUACUAGGUGUAGCUUGUAUCGACCCGAGCUGUGCCGAAGCUAACGCGAUAAGUAUCCCGCCUGGGGAGUACGCACGCAAGUGUGAAACUCAAAGGAAUUGACGGGGGCCCGCACAAGCGGUGGAGUAUGUGGUUUAAUUCGAUGCAACGCGAAGAACCUUACCAGGGCUUGACAUGUCGCGAAUCUAGCGGAAACGUUAGAGUGCCUUAGGGAAUGCGAACACAGGUGGUGCAUGGCUGUCGUCAGCUCGUGUCGUGAGGUGUUGGGUUAAGUCCCGCAACGAGCGCAACCCUCGUCCUUAGUUGCCAAUAUUAAGUUAGGCACUCUAGGGAGACUGCCGGGGACAACUCGGAGGAAGGUGGGGAUGACGUCAAGUCAGCAUGCCCCUUACGUCCUGGGCGACACACGUACUACAAUGGUUGGGACAAAGGGCAGCAAGCUCGCGAGAGUAAGCGAAUCUCAUCAAACCCAGCCACAGUUCAGAUUGCAGGCUGCAACUCGCCUGCAUGAAGUAGGAAUCGCUAGUAAUCGCAGGUCAGCAUACUGCGGUGAAUUCGUUCCCGGGCCUUGUACACACCGCCCGUCACACCAUGGAAGCUGGCUACGCCCGAAGUCGUUACCCUAACCCGGUUUUGGGAGGGGGAUGCCGAAGGUAGAGCUAGUGACUGGGGUGAAGUCGUAACAAGGUAGCCGUACCGGAAGGUGUGGCUGGAUCACCUCCUUU